CUAAUUCAUGAUCUGACAUGUACAGAAAGAAAACUUGUUCUUUUCAUGGUCUCAAAAUUCUGUCCUGGUAGCUCAACAUGGGCAACAAGGCUUCUUAGGAUGAUCUUUCAUCCUAUCAUGACUCUCUAGUCUCUACUCUCUUGCCUGCUCAUGUGGUGACAUGGAAAAACUUAACGAGAGGGAAAAGGAGGAGAAAGUUAUGCAAUUCCUUGUGGAAUUGAAUGAUAGCUUAUCUGCCACCCGUGGACAGAUCUUAUUGAUGCAGUCCCUACCCCAAACUCGUUGAGUUUAUUCUCUCGUCUUUCAACAAGAAAAACAGGUAGAAGUCUUCCCUUUCGAUGAUGGACCAAGAUUCACAGCUGAGAAAUUCAAUGAAUUGAUGGCCAUGCUUCGACAAAAUAAUGAGUAUUAUCACACCAUCGUCUACCGUUAUUCAUUUCACUUAUUAUGCUGGAUUUUUUUAUAGUAAAACCACAGAUCAUGUAGCAUUUUCAACUGAGUUAUCAAAUAAAUAGUGUUCACUCAAAUCAGCAACUAUUCAGUUGCCAAAUUGUGGUCAGACACAAAUUGAAUCAGUUGGUUCUUUACAUGUCACACCACAUAUCAAACUUGAUGAAGUGCUUUAAGUUCUUGAAUUCCAAGUCAGUUUAUUAUCUGUUAGCAAGUUGACAUGAGCAUUGAAGUGUAUAGUGAUAUUCUUCCCUGAUUUUUGUGUUGUGCAGGAUGCUGCUACGAGAAGAUGAUUGGCCUGGGCAAACAACAUAAAGGUUUCUACUACCUUACAAAAGAUCAAAACAUGAUCUUCUUGGCCUACAACAUCUGCAAACACUAUUUAACCAUCCUUUGUUGUCCCUUCUCAUUGUGGACUAGGUAGACACAAACAACCCAGUGUAACUCUUCGCGACCACCAUCUUUCUAACUUGAACAUGAUUUCUCUUGAUUCAUCAUCUUCUUCAGGUAUAUCUGUUGGUUAAAAUUUUAAAAGUUUGUAUGAAACAGAUUUUCCAUGAAUGAUUUGCAGAAACAGUAAAGCAGAAAAGAAUUUGCAGAAACAGUAAAGCAGUAAAUAAUUUGCAGAAACAGUAAAGCAGAAAAUUAUGUUCGAAAAAUUAUGAAAAGAAAGAAGUCCAGAAUUCGGAAAGGGGAUGAUCGAGGCGAGAACUAUGCUCUCUGUCCUUAAGACGUUUUUACCCCGUCACACGGUGCUUACGGUAUGUGGUAAAGCGUCUCCCAAGAUACAACGAUCACACUUGCAGAAGCAGCACUUCGACUGCAAGACAACGAACCAGAAAGAAUGAAAAUACUCUCUGCAGACUGAUGCAAGGAAGAAGAGAUGUAUAAUGUAUGUAUGCAGGAAAUCGUGUGUAUCCUUUGUGUUGUAUGAGGACUAUUCAAAUAGAGGAAGAAAGUUGACGGUUUUGGGCAGUUUCCCUCACGCCACUUAAUGCACAGUUUCUUCGAACUGAUGGGUCGGUUUGUAAACUGUCAAAGGGAGGGAAAAAAUUAAAUUCAAUUUUUUUUUUUUUUUUUUAAACCGAAAAUAAAAAAAAAAANCCACUUCAUCCAUCUUAUUACAAGUCUCCAAACUAACACAAAUUACAGUACAAAAGGAAUACUCCAAAACCACUAUAAAACUGACCAACAGGCAUCAAGAUCUCAUUAAUCGUAGGCUCAGAUCACUGUACCCGUCUGUAUCAACACAGAGACACCGAACAGACCCAAACCCUCACAACUAAAGAUACGAAACGAAGUUACUGUAAUGGACCAAGAAAAAAUUCAAUCCCAUACCCAUCGUCCUACUCAUACAAAUAAAUCAUCAAAACUCAUUUCUCACUCAAAGAUUUAAACUUCAUUCACACGAAUGAGGAAGAUGGAAAAAUGGAGAGAAGACAAAACGAGUUGAAGGUUCUAGACCCUCUCGGCUGACCUAGGGCUACAAGAAAAGGCCCUAUUUAUAGUGAACACAGCAACCAUUAAUCUGGGAAUGAAUCUAACAGUCCAGAGCGAAUAGCAAUUGCUCUAUUCAAG
rnacentral:lncRNA from 1 species